GUGGUGCCAACUCACAGCGUCUUGCUGUGGGGAUCUGGCAGCUGUUCUCAGGAGCAACCAAAGCCUGGCAGAGCUGGAGCUGGGUGGUAAUGAACAUCUGGGAGAUGCUGGAGUGCAGCAGCUGUGUGAGGGCCUGAAGCAUCCAAACUGCAAGUUGCAGAAACUGGGACUAAGUGGUUGUGACCUCACAGCUGGUUGCUGCAGGGAGCUCUCCUCUGUUCUCAGCACCAGCCAGACCCUGGCGGAGCUCAAUCUGCGUGACAACCAGCUGGGACAUUCAGGAGUGCAGCUGUUGUGUGAGGGGCUGAAACAUCCCAACUGCAAAUUGCAGAGGUUGUGGCUGAGCUCUCACACUUUUAAAGAAGAAACGAGGACAGAGCUGGGUGCUGUGAAAGACAUAAAGGCCGAUCUGGUCAUAGAGUCGAACUAGUAAGCAGGAGCCCUUGCUCCAACAUGCCUUGGCCCACCUGCCCUGCCACUUCCUAGGAGAGCAGCAAGGGCUGGCAGAGGGACGCACCUGCACAUUGAAGAGAGGACCGUCCCACUACCAGGCCCUUCAGAAGCAUAUUCCAGCAUGUGCGAUGGGGGUUGGGGAAAGACUUUGGGACUAUCCCUUCUGCAGGAGCAGCUGUUUUUAUGUCUUAUAUGAUCUGAACUUGGAAGGAGACAGUUGGUUUGUUGAAAGGAGCAAGAAGGAGACAUGGGAUCCGCAUACAAAGGAAGGAGAGGACCACAAGAUGGAGGGGUCUGGGAACUGUGCUUCUUCUGUCCUUGUCGGGGCAAAAGAGAGACCCAAAUAUCCCAUCCCCAGACCAGUGGGGAAUUUCUGUACUGGCAUCACAGCUCACUCACAGUUGUCUCUCUGU